UACGUAGGGUGCAAGCGUUGUCCGGAAUUAUUGGGCGUAAAGAGCUCGUAGGCGGUCCGUCACGUCGGCUGUGAAAACUCGGGGCUCAACUCCGAGCUUGCAUUCGAUACGGGCAGGCUAGAGUGCGGUAGGGGAGACUGGAAUUCCUGGUGUAGCGGUGAAAUGCGCAGAUAUCAGGAGGAACACCGGUGGCGAAGGCGGGUCUCUGGGCCGUAACUGACGCUGAGGAGCGAAAGCGUGGGGAGCGAACAGG
rnacentral:rRNA from 1 species